UACGUAGGGAGCAAGCGUUGUCCGGAAUCAUUGGGCGUAAAGCGCGCGUAGGUGGCCAUGUAAGUCCGCUGUGAAAGUCAAAGGCUCAACCUUUGAAAGCCGGUGGAUACUGCAUGGCUAGAGUACGGAAGAGGCGAGUGGAAUUCCUGGUGUAGCGGUGGAAUGCGCAGAUAUCAGGAGGAACACCAAUGGCGAAGGCAGCACUCUGGGACGUGACUGACGCUGAGACGCGAAAGCGUGGGGAGCAAACAGG
rnacentral:rRNA from 1 species